rnacentral:ncRNA from 1 species
AUCGGGUAAGCCGAAAACCGAAUCUAAGAGUAGGCA